UGGGGUGGGAGAGCUGUGGGUGCCCUGAGGACAGCCCCAUCCUGCAGCUCUUGCCUGUUGGAGCUGGAAUGACUACUGGUGUUCUGUAGUUUGUGAAGCAAGACAACAUGACAGUACACAACUCUUGAACCCCGUUUCGUCUGUUCUUCCUGAAGCGCCAGCUGCCAUGACGCCUGGCACUACCUCCUGCCACUAAUGGCUUCCUGAAGGGUUCAUCCUUGACCAUCUUCCUGCAGAGGGGUUGGGGUGUGCAGCAGCAUGAGCUGGAGCAGGGGUCCCCGGUCCAAGCCCUAUGCCAGCACAGGGCAAAGCAUGGAGCCUCGCUGCCUGCUCGCAGCCCAGCUUCUCUGUGGGUCCAGCCCUUAACUGGCCUGCCUGCCUCAGUUUCCAGUUAUAAACUAGGCUGUGUUUACUGCGGAAAUUACGAGCUAAGCCCUGCCGCCCUCUCCACGUCGUGUAAAAUCGACUGCUGUGCAUUCACAGAUGCUGCAGCUGCUUGGAUGUGGUACAUGGGAAGGCAAGACCAGAAAGAGUGGAGCCAUCAGACAGACAUAGGGGGGAUAAUAUAUUUUGAUGAGAGAGGAGGAUUUAAAUGAAUAGACAAUAAAACAGGGCAGAAACAAGCAAUGCAAAAUGGCAAUCUUAAUGCUAACUAAGCUUGUAAUAGAAGAAAGCUGUAAGUAAAAGGAAAAUAAA